rnacentral:rRNA from 1 species
UACGAAGGGGGCUAGCGUUGCUCGGAAUCACUGGGCGUAAAGGGUGCGUAGGCGGGUCUUUAAGUCAGGGGUGAAAUCCUGGAGCUCAACUCCAGAACUGCCUUUGAUACUGAAGAUCUUGAGUUCGGGAGAGGUGAGUGGAACUGCGAGUGUAGAGGUGAAAUUCGUAGAUAUUCGCAAGAACACCAGUGGCGAAGGCGGCUCACUGGACCGGAACUGACGCUGAGGCACGAAAGCAUGGGGAGCAAACAGG